CCCUUAGAUGUUCUGGGCCGCACGCGUGCUACACUGAGUGGAUCAGCGGGUCAGGUUGCGCGAAAGUGUUUCCUAAUCUUUAAAUCCGCUCGUGAUGGGGAUUGACGGUUGCAAUUUUCCGUCAUGAACGAGGAAUACCUUGUAAGCGCGGGUCAUCAUCCCGCGCUGAUUACGUCCCUGCCCUUUGUACACACCGCCCGUCGCUCCUACCGAUUGAGUGGUCCGGUGAGGCUUUGGGAUCUGAGCGGAAAGAGCGUUUCGCUGUUUCUGCCCGGAAAACUCAGUCGAACCUUAUCAUUUAGAGGAAGGAGAAGUCGUAACA
rnacentral:rRNA from 1 species